GGAAGUGUGGCCGAGCGGUUGAAGGCACCGGUCUUGAAAACCGGCGACCCGAAAGGGUUCCAGAGUUCGAAUCUCUGCGCUUGCGCCA
rnacentral:tRNA from 1 species